rnacentral:rRNA from 1 species
GACAGAGGUGCCGAGCGUUAGGCGGAAUUACUGGGCGUAAAGCGUGCGCAGGCGGCUUUGCAAGACAGAUGUGAAAUCCCCGGGCUUAACCUGGGAACUGCAUUUGUGACUGCAUGGCUGGAGUGCGGCAGAGGGGGAUGGAAUUCCGCGUGUAGCAGUGAAAUGCGUAGAUAUGCGGAGGAACACCGAUGGCGAAGGCAAUCCCCUGGGCCUGCACUGACGCUCAUGCACGAAAGCGU